rnacentral:rRNA from 1 species
AGUGAACGCUGGCGGUAGGCCUAGCACAUGCAAGUCGAACGGCAGCACAGUAAGAGCUUGCUCUUACGGGUGGCGAGUGGCGGACGGGUGAGGAAUACAUCGGAAUCUACUUUUUCGUGGGGGAUAACGUAGGGAAACUUAUGCUAAUACCGCAUACGACCUACGGGUGAAAGCAGGGGAUCUUCGGACCUUGCGCGAUUGAAUGAGCCGAUGUCGGAUUAGCUAGUUGGCGGGGUAAAGGCCCACCAAGGCGACGAUCCGUAGCUGGUCUGAGAGGAUGAUCAGCCACACUGGAACUGAGACACGGUCCAGACUCCUACGGGAGGCAGCAGUGGGGAAUAUUGGACAAUGGGCGCAAGCCUGAUCCAGCCAUACCGCGUGGGUGAAGAAGGCCUUCGGGUUGUAAAGCCCUUUUGUUGGGAAAGAAAAGCAGCAGGUUAAUACCCCGCUGUUCUGACGGUACCCAAAGAAUAAGCACCGGCUAACUUCGUG